AACAUCGCUCUUUGAAAAAAUAAUUAUAAAGAGUACUGCCUGCCCAGUGAUAAAAUUUAAACGGCCGCGGUAUUUUGACCGUGCAAAGGUAGCAUAAUCAUUUGUUCUUUAAUUGAGGACUAGUAUGAAAGGCAAAACGAAAGCUUAACUGUCUCCUUUUUAAAAAAUGAAAUUAGUAUUUUUGUGAAGAAACAAAAAUAACAAAGUAAGACGAGAAGACCCUGUCGAGCUUAAGAAAAUUUUUAUAAUAAAUUUUUAACAAGAUAAACAAAUUCUACUAUAAAAAUAAAAUAAAAAUAUCUUUGGUUGGGGCAACCACGAAGAAAAAAAAACCUUCGUUUUUAAAAAAAAAUUUACAAAUUUAAAAAUUAUUAAAAAUUUAAAAGAUCCAGAAAAUUCUGAUCAUAGAAAAAAGUUACCGCAGGGAUAACAGCGUUAUUCUCUUUAAGAGCUCUUAUUGACAAGAGAGUUUGCGACCUCGAUGUUGGACCGGGGCACCCAAGAGGUGUAGCAGCCUCUAAAGGUAGGUCUGUUCGACCUUUAAAGCCCUACGUGAU
rnacentral:rRNA from 1 species